CCACCGCCCAGAUGUCCACCGCAGUCGAGUACGCCAGCUGCGGCUUGUCCUUGUUCUCCUGCGGCUCGGCCUUGAGCGGGCAGCGCUCCACCUCGGGAGCCAUGUAGCCCUCCGUGCCGGCGCGCGUGACCGCCCGCUCGUGGUGCAGGUUGAUGGACACGCCGAAGUCCGCCACAAGCAGCCGCCAGUCGGUGGUGAAAAGCACGUUCUCGGGCUGCAGAGAUAGGGAACCGGCGGCAAGGCGGGGCAGGGCAUGCGCACGGUCAGCAACAGUAUUCGGAGCUCCACACGCACGCACGUGCUGCGCCCACUCACAGCUAGCAGCACGCAGCACCAGCUCCCAGCACCAUCCCACGCGCAUGCAAGGACACACACCUUGAUGUCGCGGUGGCAGAUGCCGCGCGAGUGCAGGUAGCUCAGCGCCUCCAGGAAGGGACGCAUCACGAAAUGUGCGACCUGGUCAGGUUGCAUGCGGCCACCCAGACGCUUGGCGACGCCGUACAAGUCGCCACGCGCCGCGUACUCCUGCACCAGCACCAGCCUAUCCUUGUCGUCCUGUGUGCACGUGCGUGGUUGGUUGGGUUUGGGCGGGGCCCAUGUGAGCAAGGGAAGCAAGGGUGAAUGCUGUGGUGUUUGGACUCGGUGCGUGAUGGCUGGGAAAGUGCCACACGGUUUGGGCCACGGUGUUUCGGGUGAGCAACAUAACAUGGAGCAGGAAUACGGCAUUGUAGGGCGACUGUGCGAGUGUAUGGCGCUGCUUGACCGCUUGCCGGCAACGUUGCAGGACGCCGUUGCUGGAUGUAGAACCCAACACACCGCACACUUGAUGGCUGGGGCCAAACACACAACACAGGUUGCGGCCUAGGCACCCACCCAUCCGCCCACCCAUGCGCCCACCCGUCCGCCCACCCGGCCCUGUCGUACCCACCAGGAAGGCCGAAUGGAGUCGCAGGAUGUUGGGGUGCAGCAUUGACACGUGGAUCUCAAUUUCGCGGCGCAGCCUGCACGUCCGCGCGUGUUGCAAGCAAGUAAGUGCACCCCCACGGCAAUACACAGCGGCAGCUAUGUCAUCAGCAUGUACGAGGAGCUGCAAGCAACCUCAACGUCCGUACUCACUAACCGGGCCAGCACACGCAAGACCCCCAACGGCCAACACAGUGACGAGCUCACAUGUGCACGACGUUCGAGGCGAUUCGGUCCAGAAAAUAGACCUUGAGCGCCACAGGCAAUCCACUGUACAGGCAGGUGGCCUGUGGGCAAUACCCCGCGUCAGAGAACACCUGGAAGUGUCGUGCUGGCGGGAGAGCUGAUGCAGAAACAACAUAAGACGGCAAAAGCCCGUCCUGAAAAGCCACAGCUCUUACGACGCCAACACACCUUGUACACAGAUGACGAGCUGCCCUUGUAGAGGCGCCUGGAGAUGCUGUAAUCCUCCAACGACCACACCAGCCGCGACAUGGCGGACGGCAGCGCGGGAGACACCGCAAGCAGCUUGGACUGGGCGGCGGCGGCGGUCGCCGGCGCCGGUGCGGGCACGACGGGAGCCUCCGCGCGAGCAUCGGGUAGCAGCAGCGCCGACACGGGCUGCUCGCUGGUCUCAGAGGCACAGAGGCCUGCGGAGUCUUGGCUCAGCGCGCGCUGGGGCGCGGCGGCGUGUGGCUUGCUUGCCGCCACCAGGCGCGCAAGCGGACCACCCGCAAACUUUGACAGCGGGGUGCUGGAUCCUGAUGGCGGGCUGUUGUCCAGGCUGCCGUUCACCAGGGGCACGAAGUCGCUGCUGAGCGGCCAGGCCUGGCGGCCGCCGGCGGGUGCGUCGAUUUGGCGAUCCUGCUGCGUCGUGAUGGGGCCGAUGGUACAGACCGUGGCGGAGACCGCGACGGGCGACUGAGGUGUUGAGAGAUGGCAAGGCGCGCUUUCCAGAAGCCAGCUAUUGGGCGCGAGGUUGCUCGUGGGUAGCAGCGGGCUCGCACAUAGGCGCGGCGCCGCAACCGAUUCGGUCGGUACUGCAACACCGCUGUUUGCACGAGCUUGACGCCCCAGGUAUGAAAGAUUUGAGGAGGAUUGUGUCUUUGCAGGAGCGAGCUUUCUCUUUAUCUGGUGCCAUAGGGACUUGUGCGAUUUAGCGCGUGGGCUGGCAGCGUCGCUGGCGCUGUUUGUCCCUGGGCUGUCUAAUGGUGAGCUUUGCAAGCGCCGAAAUGCGCCUUCAAUUGACAUUUCUGCACUCUGGCUUGGAGUCGAAGCCCUUCAACAAACGUAUUGCUUCACCUGAGCGCUGCUUGCAAAAUUUGUGCUUCUAUACAGCGCUAUGUGUGAAGCAUAUGGUUAUCACAGCAUGAUAUCAUAGAAAGCUUGGGCGAGGCCUUUUAUGUAAAAUAAAGUGUGCCGUUUGAUUGGGAGCACGGGCAGGGGGGGGGGAACCAACAACCAAGUCCGCGCGGCCGCCGCGAUUACUGUAAUGCAAACUCGUCGCCAUCUUUUAUAUGUCCAUUUCUGCAAGCGGCCCUAGCCAGUUGGACUCAAAUCAACCGCGCGACAGGAAACGUCGCAACCGCUGCUGUCAACGACUGCCUUGCUAUCGCAAACACUAGCUAUGUAAAUUGUUGAGUACGUGCGGGCGCGCCGUGACAGGCAUUUAGGACAAGUUCCCCACCCCCUCACCCUCUCGUUUCCCCCGACCCCCUCGUCCCCCCCCGGAAACCCAGACUGCGGUUCGCCAAGGCCCCUGUGCCACCAUCGUGCCCCCAUCAGCUCAUCACACACCACACCAUCGCACACUCAAUUCUUGCGGUCGGGCUUGCAGUACCGCAAGUUGCACCGCACGAAGAAGCCGCGCACCAAGCGCGCCCUUACCGCACAUGGACUUGGUGGCCUUGGCGUUGCCGCAACGGCUGCACUCGCCGUUGGGCCGCAGAAGAAAAGAACAACAUAUAACACUUUAUGAUAACGGCAUGGCAAGCUUAUGCAUUGCACCUUUGGGUCAAGGGCUCAAAGCCCUGGCUUCUAGGCACGCGGCACGCGUCCCAAACGAUGAAUCCCCUUCACACGACUGAUGGGGCGCGCCCUUCAUGGAUGAGCAUCGCCAUGGCAACGUGCCCUUGCUUCUGCACUUAAAAUCAUCACUUGUAAUUAACACGGCACAAAUAGAAACGGCCCAUCCACCCUGGCCCAACUGCACGUACAGGCGUGAACAGGUGCGCGUAGUUAGCGGGAGACCUGAGCCAACGAUGCCAAGAUCGAACUUUUUACAUACCGCAACUCGCAACCACGAAGAUGAACUAUAAAUGCGUAUGGGAGAAGGCUAAAACACGACGUCGUUGAGGCUUGGGCGCAAACAAGCAGAACGAACGCAUGAGUAUUGAGUAACCAGAUAAUUCAAGCGCAAAGAGCGCUGUCGUUGUGACAUAUGUGCCGUAUAGACCAUCAUGUAUUGCACACCCCACACACCAGGGAUGCAACACAUAGACCAUCAUACACUGCACACCCACGCACGCACGCGCGCACAGACGUUGAUUCAGUCAAGCCGUGCUUACAGGUACUUCAUGAACUCCGUGCCAAGACCAAACAUUGAGAGCUACCUUAUUCUUUGCUUUUGUACUGUGCCACUCCUUAUUUACCUCCUCUGCUUUCGGUCCGAAACCCUGGGCAGCGGCGCACGUGUGAGCCCAAGCAGCUGCAAGGCAGCACAACCGCAUCAGGCUCACGCAGGCGGGGCCUGGGCCCAAUGUGCUCUACGUGCGCGGCCAUCAACAUAAAGAAAGCAAGACGUCAUGCGGUAAGGACACAGUGACGAGCGACACGUCAACUUAAGUAAUGCGGGAGCAUUGGAAUAGUCGGACAAAGGAAAGGCCACUCAACUACUUGCCCCUUUCUCAUAGUGGGGCUGAGCCCACGGCGCCUGAACGCAAAUGGUGCAUGCAAGGAACCCACGACGCCUGGACGGAAGGCCAUGUGCUUGUACGACUACAUCAACCUGGUAUCCUUCCCACCAGUGCACAGUUGCACACCCAGAACAAACAUGCCAUGCACUGUGCAAUGAAGUGCUCGCCAAUGCUCGCCGAUGAUACCAUUGCAUGCAACAGGUUCUUUGCUGAGCUCCUGACUGCAGAUUCUAUGCCAUGUCAUGCCACGAUAAGAUAGAGAUAUAGAAACUCGCGGUGCCGUCAGGGGUCACCAGCAACCCCCGCGUCCGUGCCCGCGUCCGUGGCGUCCUCCCGGCCUUGCAGCCACGCCGACGCCAGCAGCUGCGCGGCAGUGGGCCUUGUGCGAGGGUCCGGAGCUACGGCGGCGCAGAUGAAGUCCCGGGCAUCCUGUGGGACCGUUGCGGGGAACUGCACCGAGAGCUGUGUGUGCACUCCACAGCCCGGGCCCCCGUCUGCGUUUUGUGCGCCCGUGGGGCCAGCUCCCGCUGGCGCGUGCUGCCGCUGCGGCGCGAUCGCUGGCGGGAAGCCCACCAUGAGCUCGUACGCCAUGCACCCCACCGCCCAGAUGUCCACCGCAGUCGAGUACGCCAGCUGCGGCUUGUCCUUGUUCUCCUGCGGCUCGGCCUUGAGCGGGCAGCGCUCCACCUCGGGAGCCAUGUAGCCCUCCGUGCCGGCGCGCGUGACCGCCCGCUCGUGGUGCAGGUUGAUGGACACGCCGAAGUCCGCCACAAGCAGCCGCCAGUCGGUGGUGAACAGCACAUUGGCAGGCUGCGGAAGCAGCAUGUAGGGGCCGGAAUACUGGGGUAGACAAAGAACCGGGUUGGCAUGCGUGCCAUAGUAGUGGAAAGGGCGGCACGGCAUUGGGGCCGCAAGGGGGCGUGCAGCAGGGCCGUCCCUGCUGGGGAUAUCCACGGAAACUCUUGCCACGGCUGCUACAUGGCGCCACACAUCCGCGCGCCUCGACCGGGGGGCCCAGGGGCCUGCAAGGGGGCUGUACGGUAUUCAUCCGCCGCACACACCUUGAUGUCUCGGUGCAAGAUGCCGUGUGAGUGCAUGUAGGUCAGCGCCUCCAGCAGCGGCUUCAUGAUGAGGGACGCAACCUGCAUGAGGCCGCACGGGAGAGCAAGAGGUAGUGAGGGACACGGAGCAUGGACACAUGGUCGCAUGGAACAGUACACUUCGCUGGGGAGUCAUGUGUGCUAACACGCACUCGCACGCGUCUUCUAGUGCUCGCCCUGUUUGUCACGACCACAAUGACCAUACCUGUGCAGGCUUGAUGCGGCCGCCCAGCUUCUGCUUCACGUCAAACAUG
rnacentral:lncRNA from 1 species